UCUUUUUUUUUUUUUUUUAAUAGGAUCCUUCUAGUACAUUAGCUGAAUGGUUUGACAGUAAACCAGACAUAUUUUGAAUUUGAAUAUCUAUCAACUCUGCCCAGUGAAAAACUGAAGAAUUCAUAAAUUAUCCAAAUACUUGCUUAAGGCUGAUUCUCAAACUUUUAAUUUUGUCUAAACCUUGAUAAAUAUUUCCAAAGUCUUCUGAAUUUGAAAUGGCAAGAAUUAAACUAGACCUCUCAGCAACAGUUAAUCAUUAAAAAAAAGCAGCAAAACAAACAAGACUUUUUUUGCCUCCUGUAUACAUCCGUUUUGACACAGCACGUUACAGAUAAUGUCUGUUCAAAAGCAGUGUUCUUCUCGCAGAGUUAAAUAUCCUCAUCAUAAGAUUUUAAAAACCCCAACACAAACUUGCUUUUUUUUCUUUUUUAAGCAAGAGAACAUAAUUCUUCAAAAAUUAUUGACAUGUUUUCUUUUAUUAUCCCUCUGCUAAAAAGGGUUAAGUGGACAUAAAUGCAAAAUUUGGCUGGUAACACAGCCUAUUUGUCAAACUGUAGUCAUCACUAAUCAGAUUUAGAAAUCUGGAUAAAAACAAGAGAGGAAAGAAAGAAGGAAAGGGAUAUGAGGAGGAGAAUAUGAAUGAGACUGAGAAUGAAUACAAAAAACCCCACUUCUUUCCCAGAGUUAAACAACAACAACAACAUAAAACAAAACUAAAGCAUGUUCACUCUAACUGAGGACAACGCUACUGUGGUUUGAAAGCCAGUAAAGAGUGAUUGUACAUGCUUUUGUUAAUAUGUUCCACUAGUAUUUCUCUGAGCACUAGAAGCCGCUCACUGGUUUUGCAUAAUAAAGCCAACCUGAGAUCAGACACAACAAAACUCCAUUAUUCCCACAUGUAUUUCAGUAAAGAAGUCGGAGAGUGCUCCUUGGAAUUACUAUCAUGAUCAGCACAGAAGGAUUUACAGAUGUAGUAAAGCUAAGAGAAAGCAUCACUAGCACCAACUCUCCUUCAUUUUCUGCCUAGAACGACUAACUUUCAAAGGAGGUUUCACAAAAAUACCUUCUUAGUGGGACAGAGCCUGACCAGAACCAAGACUUUUACCACAUCAUUUCACUUGUAAUUCCAUCAAAUUUGCUGAAUUCUUGAAACAUGGCUGAUAUGAACUAAAUGGAAGA
rnacentral:lncRNA from 1 species